UACCAGCUCUCCGAGUGGUAGGGAUGAUUAUUGGGCUUAAAGCGUCCGUAGCCAGCUUAGCAAGUCUCCUGUUAAAUUCAGCGACCUAAUCGUUGAGCCGCGGGAGAUACUACUAGGCUAGGAGGCGGGAGAGGUCGACGGUACUUCUGGGGUAGGGGUGAAAUCCUAUAAUCCCGGGAGGACCACCAGUGGCGAAGGCUGUCGACUAGAACGCGCUCGACGGUGAGGGACGAAAGCUGGGGGAGCGAACCGGGUUAGAUACCCGGGUAGUCCCAGCUGUAAACGAUGCGGGCUAGGUGUUGGGGUGGCUACGUGCCACUUCAGUGCCGCAGGGAAGCCAUUAAGCCCGCCGCCUGGGGAGUACGGCCGCAAGGCUGAAACUUAAAGGAAUUGGCGGGGAGCACCACAAGGCGUGAAGCUUGCGGUUC
rnacentral:rRNA from 1 species